CCUACGGGUGGCAGCAGUGAGGAAUAUUGGUCAAUGGACGCAAGUCUGAACCAGCCAUGCCGCGUGCAGGAAGACGGCUCUAUGAGUUGUAAACUGCUUUUGUACGAGGGUAAACGCAGAUACGCGUAUCUGUCUGAACGUAUCGUACGAAUAAGGAUCGGCUAACUCCGUGCCAGCAGCCGCGGUAAUACGGAGGAUUCAAGCGUUAUCCGGAUUUAUUGGGUUUAAAGGGUGCGUAGGCGGUCGGAUAAGUUAGAGGUGAAAUCCCGAGGCUCAACUUCGGAAUUGCCUCUGAUACGGUUAGGCUAGAGAGUAGUUGAGGUAGGCGGAAUGUAUGGUGUAGCGGUGAAAUGCUUAGAGAUCAUACAGAACACCGAUUGCGAAGGCAGCUUACCAAGCUACGUCUGACGUUGAGGCACGAAAGCGUGGGGAGCAAACAGGAUUAGAUACCCGAGUAGUC
rnacentral:rRNA from 1 species